CCCUACGGGGCGCAGCAGGCGCGAAACCUCCGCAAUGUGAGAAAUCGCGACGGGGGGAUCCCAAGUGCCAUUCUUAACGGGAUGGCUUUUCAUUAGUGUAAAGAGCUUUUGGAAUAAGAGCUGGGCAAGACCGGUGCCAGCCGCCGCGGUAACACCGGCAGCUCUAGUGGUAGCAGUUUUUAUUGGGCCUAAAGCGUCCGUAGCCGGUUUAAUAAGUCUCUGGUGAAAUCUUGCAGCUUAACUGUGGGAAUUGCUGGAGAUACUAUUAGGCUUGAGAUCGGAGAGUAGAGA
rnacentral:rRNA from 1 species